UGGGGAAUAUUGCACAAUGGGCGCAAGCCUGAUGCAGCCAUGCCGCGUGUGUGAAGAAGGCCUUCGGGUUGUAAAGCACUUUCAGCGGGGAGGAAGGCGAUAAGGUUAAUAACCUCAUCGAUUGACGUUACCCGCAGAAGAAGCACCGGCUAACUCCGUGCCAGCAGCCGCGGUAAUACGGAGGGUGCAAGCGUUAAUCGGAAUUACUGGGCGUAAAGCGCACGCAGGCGGUCUGUCAAGUCGGAUGUGAAAUCCCCGGGCUCAACCUGGGAACUGCAUGCGAAACUGGCAGGCUAGAGGCUUGUAGAGGGGGGUAGAAUUCCAGGGGUAGCGGUGAAAUGCGUAGGGAUCUGGAGGAAUACCGGUGGGGAAGGCGGCCCCCUGGACAAAGACUGACGCUCAGGUGGGAAAGCGUGGGGGGCAAACAGG
rnacentral:rRNA from 1 species